rnacentral:snRNA from 1 species
AUAACUUUCCCGGUCUUUUGGCUAAGAUCAAGUGUCGUUUUUGUUCUCAUCAUUGUAAUAUCGGCUACAUGAUAUUAGAUUUAAUUUUUAUGUGAUGGAGUGGCCUCUAGACAAACUUUCUAGUGGGCCCCUUGUCCAUGCGUUGCGCUGCUACUCGGUCCUGGUGCACCUGG